UUCCAGUCUUUCCUCGUUCUAAAGGAAGUAUUUUAUGAACUCAGAAUAGCUUGCUUAAAUAACUACGGAAAGCAGGAAAGUAGGAUUUCUUCCAGGCUAGUCUUAAGAGCCAAGAACGCUGUACAUUUAGGCACAAAAGUCUGCUAACACACCUUUUCUGUUCCUGCAAUCCUCAGGCCAGUUCUUUGAGAUGAAGUGCUUAUUAGCUGCUGAGCUGAAAGGAACUUCAGUGACUAUCUCAUACAGCCAUCUCCUGUUACCAAUGAGAAAACCAAGACCCAAAGGAGAAAGUGAACUGUAUAUAACUCACCCCAAGAAUCUGGAGAUGCGGCUUUGGCUUGAUUCCCCACCUCAGCCACAGAGUUGCUGGGUACUUGAAGACAGGACCUCUACUAUCCUUACAGUGCCCUGGAAGAGCCUAAUUCCGGUCUUCAUCUUAGGCAUCCUACGACAGACACAGUACUCUACACUGGCACCUGCUCCCCGAGUGCCUCCUUGUCAUCCGGACAGAGUCAUAUGUGGAGUGGAGGAAAGAGGACCAGUAUGGCGAUAUUCUAAUUGGCCAAGCAGGCUUGAGCACCGCCAGCCACAUUUCUGGAGUUUGUAGACACAAGUGACAAGCACCCUACGUGCUUCAGUAUUCAAGAGCACAUACACUCCCACCAGCUUCUAUAUACCAAAAACCCAACUUCCUGUAAACAGAGACAAGCCCAGGCAUUUGCCUGGACUGUUCAUCGUAUCCUGGUUUACUUUGAGGUAGCUGUGUCUCUAACAGACCCAUUAAAAAAUAAGUUCCAUUCAUGUGUCAUCCACCAGGGAAAAACUUCCUGACAAUCACUGAGGAAAUGAAAAUUAUGAGGCCAGAUCAAACAAGGGAUUCAGAAUUUUUUUUUAAAAAAAAAAAAGCAGGUUUUAAAGUGGUUGUCAAAAAAAGACUAUGAAAUAGUUAUUGAUGCAAGUGUGUGAGCUUGCUCACUAAUAAAUGUGCACACACAUGUUGCAGCCCUUCAGAUACAAGGCCAGUGAUGGGAAAAGGGCUUAAUAUUGAUAUCUUCAGGAUUAAAAAAAAAAAUCUCAUAAGCAUAUGCAGGUACAUACGAUAGAAUCUGUUGUUUAUUUCUUUUUUUAAUAUAGAUUUCUUGAUUAGACAGUUGCUACCAGGAUGGAUAGAUACAUCAGUGACACAAAGCUUCAGGGUGACAGCUCACCAAGACACAUUGGGGUUUUUUUGUAUUAGAAAGAAAAAGACAUAAAAAUUAAUCUGGAAUCAAGGUCUCUCUGUCCUUCAGUGUGCCAUACCCCUGCUACUGUUGAAAUAGGAAGGAAAUGGGCACCAAAGGGUAUCUGACCACACUUUACGAUCACCUGGUGGUGGUGGCAGGGACCUCAACAGUUUUAGCAUUCAAUUAUUUCCAGGUGACUGCAGCUGUUCUAACUGCCAUUCAGCAAGGGCUAGAGGACAAGCAUCUUACCG